rnacentral:misc_RNA from 1 species
CCAAUCUUUUAGCGGGCCUUGGCUUUUUUGUCCAUGGUCUCGCAAAAAAACCUGUAUUUAAAACCCGCUCAUAAAUUAUAAAACAUAAUUUUUGUUAUUAUUAUAAUAAUAAAGA